UUCGCAAUGCCCGAAAGGGUGACGAAGCGACGCCGCGUGAGCGAAGAAGGCCCUAGGGUUGUAAAGCUCUGUCGAGGGUUAUGAAAUGUAGAUGGGUUAAUACCCCAUUUAUUUGACAAAGGCCCCAAAGGAAGUCACGGCUAACUCUGUGCCAGCAGCCGCGGUAAUACAGAGGUGGCGAGCGUUGUUCGGUAUUAUUGGGCGUAAAGAGCACGUAGGUGGUUUUGUAAGUCAGGUGUGAAAGCCUUCUGUUCAAAGGAAGAACGGCAUCUGAAACUGCAGAUCUUGAGUAUAGGAGGGGAGAGUGGAACUUCUGGUGGAGCGGUGAAAUGCGUAGAUAUCAGAAGGAACGUCGGCGGCGAAAGCGACUCUCUGGCCUAUUACUGACACUGAGGUGCGAAAGUUAGGGGAGCAAACGGGAUUAGAUACCCCGGUAGUCCUAACCGUAAACGAUGGGCACUAAGUAGAGGGGUUUU
rnacentral:rRNA from 1 species